GAAGGUAGGUCCUUCGACAGGAAUUGAACAGGCAAGCCUGUCAAAUCACUCUAAUGCUGCUGUGAUUCAGGUCAUGGUAGUGAGCGAUUAGAGAAAAGGUUGUACAAACAAUCAGA
rfam:Blautia sp. YL58, complete genome.